rnacentral:rRNA from 1 species
UACGAGGGGGGCGAGCGUUGUUCGGAAUUAUUGGGCGUAAAGGGCGCGUAGGCGGUGCGGUAAGUCACCUGUGAAACCUCUGGGCUUAACUCAGAGCCUGCAGGCGAAACUGCCGUGCUGGAGUGUGGGAGAGGUGCGUGGAAUUCCCGGUGUAGCGGUGAAAUGCGCAGAGAUCGGGAGGAACACCCGUAGCGAAGGCGGCACUCUGGGCCGGUACUGACGCUGAGGAGCGAAAGCGUGGGGAGCAAACAGG